GUAGCUGGUGUUACUCUUGGGAUAAGAAGGGAAGGAAAGCUGGACAGAGAGGUAAGGAAAGAGUAUUUGGGUUAUUAAUUAAGAAUUAGGUCCAAAGGAAAGAUAUACUAUAUAGAAGAUGAAGAGAGAAAUAAAGUUUUUAGGAGAGUAAACAAUAGGAUAGAUUUUCAUGAUGAUGGAGAUAAAAGAUAUUGGUAGUGAGCUAGAUUGAGGAAGGAUUAAUUGUGAUUGAAAUCAGUGGAAAGAAGUAAUAAAUAAUUAAGGUUUCCAUUAGAUUUGGUUACGGAGUGAUAGACUAGGAAAGAAAAAUAGUGUUCUUGAUGAAUAUGAUGAUGGAGACGAUGGGAAAUAAUGAAAAGUUGUUAAACAGUCAAGUUAGUCUAUAUUAACAACGAUCUAUUCGAAGGAGGAAUCAGUGGAUGGAGGAAUACAAGGUAGGUGUGGCUUUGUCAUCAAAUCAGGUUGGAACUCUGUAACUUUCUUGUAAUCAUUAAGUUUAUGUUAUGUGUGAGCAUGAUGAGUCCUUAAUUUCUUUAAGCAUAUUGUUUGUAAUUCAAUCGGUAUGUUGUGUAAUAUGCGUUGGGUGGUUUCCCCGCGAAGAGUGUAUGUGUUUCCCCAUAGCUCUUGGCUAAGUUUAGUAGGGAAAUGCUACGUUGUUUGAAUAUUACUUAGUAGCCCGGCUUUACCCCGGAUAAAUAUUAUUACAUUUUAUUAUCUUAAGAUAGUAUUCCGGCUUUACCCCGGUUGAUUAUUACCUAGUAGUCCGGCUUUACCCCGGUUGAUUAUUAUAUAUAUUAUUUUAUUUGGGGAAGUCACUCAUGUGCAUAUUAUACUUGAUUGUGCAGUCUUAGUAGUAUGACUGGGUUACUAUGAUCUUGACUUAGGAAGAAAUUCUAGGUUCAUGAUUGGAUAUGGUUAUUAUUCGGUGACUUCGAUUUACGAAUAAUGAUUGGGCCUUUCGUGAACCUGUUGUGCCGGGUCAGAUCAUAGUAAUCAAAAUUCUUAUUAUAUCUAGACUUAGAUGGUAGCAUUGGGGUUUAUGAAUAACUCCAGACUUAGAUGAUACCUGGAUUCAUGCUAUCAUUUGAGACUGGAGUUAUUCCUAGUAUCUUCUCCUCUAUUGAGUGAGACGAGGUUGGGAUAACAUAUGUUUAGGUUGUUUAAUUCUUUUCUCGUAGAUUCAUCCAGAUCUUUCACGGAUAUUACCACUAUGGACGUAAUAUCUGGGGAUACGAGUUGAAGCAAUCUUCUGCUCUAUGUUGUGUGUAAAAGAUGUUUAUCGUUUUCUUUUCUAGAACUGUGAUGCAUGUUAGUGAUUACUUGAAUGUUAUAUUGAUAUCCACUGAGCCCCCAUUUGGGAUGAUGUGCUCACUCGUUCCCACUUCAGCUUUCAGACAUCAGAAGAAAUGGUGCGCGCGAUAUCGUAACUUAAAGCUUAAUUGAAUCUAGACAUUUUGUAUAUCUUAUAUUUUAUGUUUCUUUAUUUAUUUUGUAAAACAAAUAUUAUUAUAUUCAUAUCACUCGAGAGAUUUUCAUCUAUACAAUAUCUGAGAGUGUUGGGCUA